rnacentral:rRNA from 1 species
GUGAGGAAUAUUGGUCAAUGGGCGGGAGCCUGAACCAGCCAAGUCACGUGAAGGAAGAAGGAUCUAUGGUUCGUAAACUUCUUUUGCAGGGGAAUAAAGUGCAGGACGUGUCCUGUUUUGUAUGUACCCUGAGAAUAAGGAUCGGCUAACUCCGUGCCAGCAGCCGCGGUAAUACGGAGGAUCCGAGCGUUAUCCGGAUUUAUUGGGUUUAAAGGGUGCGUAGGUGGUUUGAUAAGUCAGCGGUGAAAGUUUGCAGCUUAACUGUAAAAAUGCCGUUGAAACUGUCGGACUUGAGUGUAAAUGAGGUAGGCGGAAUGCGUGGUGUAGCGGUGAAAUGCAUAGAUAUCACGCAGAACUCCGAUUGCGAAGGCAGCUUACUAAGCUACAACUGACACUGAAGCACGAAAGCGUGGGGAUCAAACAGGAUUAGAAACCCCAGUAGUCC